GGAAAAGAAUCUGCUGACAGAAAUUCCAAGGAAAGACGGAAUGCUUAAGGAAGUAAGAUUUGUUUUUCUGUGUUAAAUCUUGCUGAGGAAUCUAUUAGGAAAACUACUUAAAUAUACAACUGAGGAUUUAGGAACAUGGAAUUAGUGGUCACCAUGGACAAAGCAAUUUCUGUAAAAUGAUGGGUGCAGAAACCAGACUAGCAUUGUUUGAAGAGUGAGAGUCAGGACAUGAAAUCAAUGAGUUUUAGACAAUUAUUGAAGUGAUUUGGCUCUCCAGAAAAGGUCCCUCUGCUGUAGGACUGCUGGAGGUCCACUCCAGACCAUGCUUACCUGGGGAUCACCCAUGGGAGCUGAAGAACAGUAGGGAUUGCUGCCAGUUUCUUCUUCUGUUAUCCAGAAGGGUACUCGCCAGAUGUCAUCUUCAUCUUCAUCCCAGAAAGGCAGAGGAACCUCAGUCUAUGGUCAUCACCACUGCAGGCCCAUGGGGAUUACUGCCAGGCUACCACAGAUAUUCCCUUAAAGACCUGAGUACUCCUCAGUCAGCCUCCUGCCUGGCCUGGGACUCACCCUUCAUCGAAAUGAGCUCCCCUAUGAUCCAAGGCCAAUCAUGACCCUCCUGUUAUCCAAUUGGUAUUAUGGGCCAGGCAACAUGCAGAAGACAAGUAAGGUCACCCAUUCCAUAAUUGAUGUCACAAAAUGCAGAACUCAGCACCCAAGAAGAAAUUAACACUAAGAUUCUAUCUGAAGAAAAGCUAACGAGCAAUAUGUUGUCUGAAAAUAAAGACUAGCCAUGCAUUUAAAGAGGCUCCAGGCCUGAAUUACAAAGUAGCUUGACAAGCUUUGUGUCUUCUAAACCCCAAAGCAUAUGUCUAAUGCUCCAAGCAAAGAGUUCCUAUUCUAAGUAAUCUAAUCCACUUUCUAUUUUUCAUUCCCCUGUGUCAAAGAAAAUCCAUCACCAAACAUAAUUCUUGUUUAUAAGUAACUGUUGCUUUAACGAAUUAUUAAGAUUAUUGGGUUUUUUUUUUCAAAAUCGACAUUCAGGUGAAAAAUGUCUGCAAAUUUGAUAUAUGUUAAAGGUUUCCUGAUUGUUAUGUUUCUGUUUCUAUUGUUUCUGACAACAGUACUCAAUCCUUGACAAUUGAAGAGUCACUUAAUUUAUCUAGCACAGCUUCAGAAAAACAAAAUAAUAAUGCUAUCUAAAUGGAGUUCCACUGACAUGCUGAAAUCAUGUUAAUGAGGUUUCCAAACCAAAAGAUUACAACUGACUCUGAUGAACUGUGUUUCUGACAUUUUAUAUUUCAUGUUCAGCUAUGUAAAAUAAGUAGCCAGUAGCAAUAAGAAAUUUACUUAUAUUUUUAGUAAUGGAGUAGCAGAAUAUGCUUUCUCUCCCAUUCUAGAUGAACUAUAUUUCCAACAUAUAUCUCUCCAUGCAAAGAUUAUACAAUGAAGACUCUAAGAUAUUGGCAUUUCCUGUUCAAUUUAAGCCCUGGUAAUAUGAUGGGAAUAAAGUCAUCUUAAUUCCCUUUCUAAUCACCUAGUCUAGGAGAAAGAGGGUUAUAAGAUUAAAGUCACUGUUGUCACGCAAGAUUAAGAUAAUCACAUGUAAAUGAGAUUCACAACAUAUAUCUAUCAUAUGCUCUGGGCUACAGCAAAGAAAGCUCUUUCCAGUAGUAAGGUAACUGGACAUUACACAAAAUAGUCAACAGAGAAUACAUUGAAUACACAUCAUUGUAACAGAUAUUGAUGGAAGCAAACAAAAAUCCCCCACCUUUGUGGAACUUAUAUUCUUUUAGAGAGACACAGAUAAAUAAACAAAAGCUAAAACAUAAAAUUCUUAUUCUGGCAAAGAUUAAAUAAAAGAAAAUCAAUGUAUUCUCCCAUUUGAAGCAAUCAUAAAAUGGAGAAAAUGUGUAAAACAACAGUUUUCAAGACACUGAACAUCACGCAAUAAAGGAGAGUGAUCCCUGGAAUCCAUUAUUUUUUUCUCAUUGAAUUUAUUUUCUAGCAGUUUAAAAUAUAUUCAACUGAUUUUUAAGUUGUUAUUCUUCAUUUAUUCAACAAAUGUUUAAUAAACAUCUAAUAUGUGCAUGACAAUUUUCUAGAUAGUAAUAAUAUAGUAAUGGGGUAUGGAACAGACAGUAAAUAAACUGUGUAGUUUUUUAGAGACAGUAAAUUAUUAAAAAAAAAAGGUAGGGAAUUGGAUGUCUGUAGAGAGCACUUGCUAUUUUAAAUAAGAUUGGCAGAGAGAGCUUUGCUUAGAAGGUGACUUUUGAGCAAAGAUGUGUAGAUUGCCAAGGAGAAAGAUAUACAGGUAUUGGAGGAAAAGCUGAACUAGAAAUGGGAAUAAAACAAUUUAGUGUGAUUCAGAUAUCCUAUGACAUUAUAAGCUGCCCUUCACACCCUUACUCACCCAAAAUGCCAAGCACUUUCAGCCAACACAGGGUCUGGGGAAUUUUUAUCUCCUUCCUGAUAGCCAGCCACAAAUGAGGUCUAGAAUAUGGAAUUAGCAUGAUAGAACCAUGACAUGCCAAGUGUUGGGAGCCAAGCUGAGUCAUCCUUGUAUUUGAGAAGUUAUCAACAGGGAAAUACUUGUGAUUUGUGAUUUUCUUCCAUCCUCUACCAUUCUAUGACACGAACAUCAAAGCCAAACUUCCAGGCUGGGAUAAGAAACUAGAAUUCCUGGGGCUAUGGCCCAGGCUCUUGCUAGCUCUGUGACAUUGGGAAAGUUGGUUAAGAUCAUUGUGCCUCAGUUUUCUCAUCUGUAAAAUGGGGAAAAUACAUUAAAUAAUAUAUAUCAAGUGUUUAGUGGAAUUUCUGGCACAUGUAGAGUGCCAUAAAAAUGUCCAUUGUUAAAAAUAAUAAUAAUAAAUAAUCUGGAAAUGAAGCCCUAGGAAAUGGUUUUGUUAGAUGUAAUGGUUUCUAAAGUUGCACUGGUAAAAUAAAUGGAUAAAUUUUUUAAGAAUAAAGAAAAAUGAUAUAUUAAUUCCAUGAAGUUUCAUAAUACAGGAUGUAUAGUUCAGUGUAGAAGCAGGCAUAUCUCACUGACUCACAAUUCCUCUGACUGUGAAAAAGAGGAUGUUGGGGAAAUAAAUGGAGGAAUCUCAGAAGAAUUUACAUAAAACCCCUAAUUUGGCAAGGUAAAGACAGGCAGUAGGACAGGCAGCCAAAACAAACAAAUUCAGCACAACAGGGAUUUCUUACAGGCUAAAACAAAUCAACGAACUGUGUGGUAUGGCUUCCUUCCAGAGCAGGUGUCCCCCACAGGCAACCAACACCAAACAAAGUCCUGGACGAAAAGCUUACCCUAGGGUAAUUUUUUUUUCCAGUGCAGGGAGCCAGAGACAGAAAUCUAUGGUUUGAAACACACUGAAAUAAGAAACAGAGGAAAAUAACUUAUCGAAACUAAUAAGAAUUUGCUUACUGAGGG
ensembl:lncRNA